GACGAACGCUGGCGGCGUGCUUAACACAUGCAAGUCGAACGGAAAGGCCCUGCUUUUGUGGGGUGCUCGAGUGGCGAACGGGUGAGUAACACGUGAGUAACCUGCCCUUGACUUUGGGAUAACUUCAGGAAACUGGGGCUAAUACCGGAUAGGAGCUCCUGCCGCAUGGUGGGGGUUGGUAAGUUUCGGCGGUUGGGGAUGGACUCGCGGCUUAUCAGCUUGUUGGUGGGGUAGUGGCUUACCAAGGCUUUGACGGGUAGCCGGCCUGAGAGGGUGACCGGCCACAUUGGGACUGAGAUACGGCCCAGACUCCUACGGGAGGCAGCAGUGGGGAAUAUUGCACAAUGGGCGGAAGCCUGAUGCAGCAACGCCGCGUGCGGGAUGACGGCCUUCGGGUUGUAAACCGCUUUCGCCUGUGACGAAGCGUGAGUGACGGUAAUGGGUAAAGAAGCACCGGCUAACUACGUG
rnacentral:rRNA from 1 species